AAGCCCUCUCCGCCAAAGCCCUACAUUGACUUGAACAUCUUCAUCGAGAUCUUUCUCAGAGACGACUUUUUUAAUCCGAAGCUUAGGUCAUUUAUGAAUGGAUAAGGAGUGGAUACGUCUGCCUUCAAGUGGGAGAAGAUUCCAAUACCUACUAGGGCAUAUGAUACCAAUAGCUGGAGUUCUAAGUGCACACGUCGUUGAAAAAUCUUCUCCGGUGACACCUAAGCUUAUUCAAGCUGUUUUGGCAAGGAAUCCUAUUGUUCUCAGUGACUGGCUUAAGUUGGGAGGCAUCAAGCCGAUCAAACUUUAAUUGUAAAAGCACAGAAGAUUAGUGAGUGCCCCUCCAUGUCAAAAUACUACUUUUCUGUUAUAUUAUGACAUCCUAUGAUGUAUGUUCUCUUGUAUGCAAGACGAUUUCAUGUGCUAUUUAAUUAUCCAAGGUUAGUAAUUAUCUAUGAUUUAUCUCUUUUA